rnacentral:tRNA from 1 species
GGAGGAUUCGACUAGCGGCCUAUGUCGCACGCUUGGAAAGCGUGUUGGGUGUCAAAGCCCUCACGGGUUCAAAUCCCGUAUCCUCCG